ensembl:lincRNA
GAGAAUCACCAUUUGCAAAAUUAAUUUUUUAAUAUUAAAGUGUUUAUCAAAAUAAAAUACUUUAAAUGUGCCCCUUAUACAUUUUUAAGUUGACAUCUAAAAUUUGACAUCACAAAUGUAAAUAGUUACAAAGCAUGUAAUUACUGGCAGAUUUGUAAAAAUUGUUUGUAAAUUAAACAUCAUUCUUAUAAAUAUAUUCAGUAGAAUACAUGUAAAAGACAGAGGCCAGAGGCUAUCACCUAAUUUAAAAAUACAUGAAAAAGUACUUAUUUACUUGUUUGUUUUUGUAGGUUGGGCAGUGGCUCGCCAUGUUGUCCAGGCUGGUCUUGAACUCCGGGGCUCAAGCAAUCCUCCCACCUCAAGACUCCCAAAGUUCUGGGACUACAGUCACAAGACACCACAGCAGCUAAAAAGGAGAAAUAACUUUAUUUGGACUGAGAGCUGGAGAAUGAGAAUAGGACCUGAGACAGCAUAUUGGGCGAAGGAGGAGAGGAGCCAAGGGAUUCACAGGAGGCAUUCCAGGGGCAGGCGGUGGGUAUAGAGAAGAAUUAUCUGGAAAGCAGACCACAAGAUGUACAGAACGAAUGGCUGAACCCAGAAACCAGAAAAACGGAGAAAAGUCAUCUCAGUUCCAGAGAAGGUUUCAUAGGCUGUCUCCCCUUACUAGAACAAUCCUCCCACAUCCCACCCCUCACCUGUCUCAUUCCUGCUGAUUCUUCAGCUUGCAACUCAAGUGUCAUUUCUGGGAAUUCUUACUUCAGCCAAAGAUAGGUUAGGUUCCCACAACCUGACUGUGCUUUGUCACAUCCAUCCCCCUCAUGAAGGCCAAGCAGUAUUGCUCUCCCUCACUAAGCUGCAAGCCUGGGAAGGGCAGGGAGUGUGGCUCUCACACUCAUCCUGUUCCCAGCGCAGUGCCUGCCACUUAGUGGGUGCCCAACAGAUUUGCAUUUAAUGACGGCCCCUCUGCUGGCCUUCAGAUUUCAGUGCUUAUGGAAUAAUUAUUUCUGUCCCCUGCCACUCAGCCCUGUACUCUGCUUUGUGAUGGAAAAGAGGAAACCAGGAAUAAGAAAAUGUGCCCCACAGAUUUUGCCAAAACCAUAAUCUGUUAGAUAAAUUGCUGAGAGGGAAAACACAAUACUUCAAACACUCAUUCCAUUCAACACAAAAUACUUAAAUAUACAUACUUUGGGAAAGUACAUCACGUAUCACCACAGAGCAAUGCUGUUGGAUUGCCAUUAUAUAAGGAAUAUCUCAUACUCAGUUUCUGGAUUUCUGCAACAACUGGUAAAAGGAAAAAUAUCACAUUUCUUAAAUUUAUAUAUGUGUAGGCUGGGUGCAGUGGCUCACGCCUGUAAUUCCAGCACUUUGGGAGGCCAAGAGGGGAGGAUCACUUGAGGUCAGAAGUUUCAGACCAGGCUGGCCAACAUGGUGAAAUCCCGUCUCUACUAAAAAUACAAAAAAAUUAGCCAGGUGUGGUGGUGGACGCCUGUAAUCCCACCUACUUGGGAGGCUGAGGCAGGAGAAUCACUUGAACCUGGAAGGCGGAGGUUGCAGUGAGCUGAGAUCUCGCCACUGCACUCCAGCCUGGGUGACAGAGGCAGAUUGCUCAAAAAAUAAAAAGAUUUUUUUUUUUUUUUUUUUUUUUUUUUGAGACGGAGUCUUGCUCUGUCACCAGGCUGAUGCAGUGGCGGAUCUCAGCUCACUGCAAGCUCC